AGGCAGCACAGCGAUGGGGGAGGAGUUUUCCCACACUGAAGAGGACGGUCCACAGCUUGAACAGAGAUUUUAAACUGUUCAAUUCAUUCUCUUGACUCAGCACAAGGCCUCCCCAGGGUUUUCACCCAAUGCUGCGAGGAGAAGCCACCAAACAGCACAUGGCAGCCCCCAAACCACCCUCACUGAACCCAUGCAACAGUCCUUGUCUUGUGUAUUUUUAUAUCUUUGUUCCAGAAUGUGAUGCUAAACAGGUGGGAGAGCUGUCAAAAUGUCAGCGUAGGAACAUUAUUUCAAUGCAUGCUCAUAACGGUCUGAUAUACAGAGACGAUGAAAGAGUCACUACUGCCGUCACUGAAGGGAAUAUGAGCAGCCAACAAAAAGACAUUCUCACACUAAACUUUAUUCUCAAUGACACUGCAGCAGAAACGUUUGUAACAUAAAAUAAAUAAGUUUUUAAUCAA